GAAAGAUGCAAUUGAUUUGUUUAAUAAAAUGAUAUUGGAAAACAUCAAUCCGAAUGUGUAUACCUUUAGUAUAUUGGUUGAUGGAUUUUGUAAGGAAGGAAGGGUGAAAGAAGCUAAAAAUGUGUUAGCUAUGAUGAUGAAACAAGGCAUUAAACCUGAUGUUGUUACUUACAGCUCUUUAAUGGAUGGAUAUUGUCUGGUAAAUGAAGUGAACAAGGCCGAGAGUAUAUUCAACACUAUGUCUCAUAGGGGAGUGACUGCUAAUGUUCAGAGCUACAGUAUCAUGAUUAAUGGAUUUUGUAAGAUUAAAAUGGUGGAUGAAGCCAUGAAACUUUUCAAAGAAAUGCAUCACAAACAAAUUUUUCCUGAUGUGAUAACUUAUAGUGCCCUUAUCGAUGGAUUGUGCAAAUCUGGAAGAAUAUCAUAUGCUUUGGAACUUGUCGAUGAGAUGCAUGAUCGAGGGCAACAACCUGAUAUAAUUACCUACAAUUCUAUAUUGGAUGCUUUAUGCAAAAAACAUCAUGUUGACAAAGCAAUUGCAUUAUUAACAAAAUUGAAAGGCCAAGGUAUUCGACCAGAUAUGAACACAUACACUAUUCUUGUCAAGGGAUUGUGCCGAAGUGGAAAAUUGGAGGAUGCACGAAAAGUUUUUGAAGAUCUUUUGGUCAAAGGCUACAAUCUUGAUGUCUAUGCAUAUACCGUUAUGAUCCAAGGGUUUUGUGACAAGGGCUUGUUUGACGAAGCGUUGGCCUUGCUGUCAAAAAUGGAAGAGAAUGGAUGCAUUCCAGAUGCUAAAACUUAUGAAAUAAUUAUCCUUUCUCUGUUCGAAAAAGAUGAAAAUGAUAUGGCAGAGAAACUUCUUCGUGAAAUGAUCAUGCGAGGUCUAUUGUAAGAUUGAAACUAUUUGAUAGCAUCAUUUCAUUUUAUGUACUUGCCUCUACUGGUGGAAAAGAAACAUUUUUUUAUUGUUUUUGUUAACUGUGUUUACCAAAACCUUUAUACUUCUUGUAUAUCUUCCAUUUUGAUUUCUCUAUAUGAUAUUGUCUUACCUCAUUGAGAGUUCCAUCAAUCAAUGAUGAAAGUUGUGCACCGUCUUAUCUGAAGAUUUGGAUGUUAGUAUACCUUUCUGCUUUGAAUUACAUUUAUUUAUUUAUCUUGAGUGAAACAUUGAAUGAUCUGAACUAUUAUAUAGACUAAUUUCGAUGAAAGGGUUGCCUUAACAGAUGAUUUGGUAGCCAGCAUAUUGGUAAGAAGGACUUGGUGUGCUCGUUUAGCUAAAUGAAAUUGCUGCAUAAUGAGUAUCUGUGGCCCCAUUACAGCUUCCAUAAAAUAUAGUUGUCCCCGCAGAAUUUGUUUUGCUGCAUAAUUCUAAUUUUUCCAGUAGUGAGACAGAAUUUCUUAAUCAUAAUUGAACUUAAGAAGUACCAGUUGUACGAAAACAGGGUGAUUACGAUUUGGCAUGUUGAGCCUAUAUUAUGGAUUCUAAAUUGAAUUGGCACAAAACAAGUAACUUCAUUUAUUUUAUCUUGGUUAUACUUGUACUUCUAUAUAAUUCUAAUCUUAGGAAGCUAACUAUUUUAGAAUGCUAAACAACAGAGGCAAGCUUGACUUAGAAAAUAGAAACCAUAACAUGACUUUGUUCAUAUUGGUUGGUUGGUUUUGAUUAGUCGGCAGAUGGUAGUUACUUCAUAGUUACACGGUUGGUCUUUUCUGGUACAAAGUUUUUUGUGUUGUUGAAGAUUAGUUAUUUUCAUAUGUUAAAAACAGUUUUUGCGCACAAAUGAACUUAGAGAAGUGAUACAAUGACCGAAACUCUCUCUUCUCUCUCCUCAAACACUCCUUUCCAGUGACUUGGCUCUUCUCCGGUGGGGUAUCCUCCUCGUUUUCACUUGGUAACAUCUCAUUUUUCUGCUGUUUCUGUCCAAUUGAUUAGAUUCAUCUUUUGUUCAAAGAUAGUUCUGGUAGGCCUUAUGGGUUACCUUCAUUUCUCUGCUUCUAAGAGUCAUUGAGUUGAAACCAGGUUUUGAUAUUUCUGAUGAAGGAAAAGCAGUGGUUGCUGCUGCUAUUGAAUUGCUUCAUAAUCAAGUCAUGCAAUAGUUUCUUUUUCCAGGGUGACGGUUCUUUGUGCUGCCAUUCAUUAGUUGUUAUAAGAAAUUAAGUUUGGCGAUUUUGCUAGCGAUAUUAUUAUAAUAUCUGGAAUGUAUAUGUACAAUAUCUUUUUUUUGUGUUAAAUAGGACUUAAUUAAUUGUGAGGGGAUUAGUAUGUGAUUAACUUUAAUAGUGUAAGUUUCAUUGUGGAGGAUAUAAAAGAACUACAAGCAUAUUAUCAUAUCUUGACAUUGUGAAGAAUUUAAUAUCUAAUGGAAAAUUUCACACAUGGUGGCUAAAAUAGUUGUGCAAGCAUCAUUAUUACUAUCAGAUAAACUACUUGUAUUAGACAUAAUAUCUCCAAUCAGUUUACAUGAUCCUUCACCUAUGACAACAAAAAAAUUUCCACAUAAUUUUUUUUAUCAUAAACUAGACGAUAAAUAGUUGUCCACAACAUUAGUCUUAAUGUAUUCAUCCAUAAAACAAUUAGUUUUUCUUUUCAUUUCUUGAAUGUAGAAUAUAGAGUAUAGAUACUUUGAGUGGUUUGGUUAAAAUUUUAAAAUAAUUCCUAUUGAAUUCAUGAUUUUUGAUACAAAACAAUCCAACAUUACUCUUUUUAUAGAUUAGAUAAGCUGUUAUAGUAAGCAUCUUGAAUUCUUAGGGUUAUGACUUAUGAUUGCUUCUUUUCUGUUUAUUCAUAUUGUUCAUGUUGCAAUCUAGAUUAGCUAACGUAGUUGGUAGUUGUUGUUACAGGGGCAAGAAAGAUUGGAUUCAAAGGUCAGGUGUAGUGGUCUGGAUGUGGCUUUGAGACUGGUAUGUUUUGUUGGUUAUAAGCGUUAUACUUGAAGUAGAAGCUUUCAUCGUUCCCGUAUGUUAGUUUUAAUUUUUAGCUACUGGUAUGUUUUACUCUUUUGGGUUAAUUCAAGUAGAAUUCGAGUUUUUACAAUGGUUUUGUAAGCUACACCUUUUUCGGUUUUGUUAAUUUAAUGUAUUCUUUGGUGUAGGGUUGUGUUCUUGCGGCAGCUACUUGGAAGAUCGAUGGCUUUGAGUGUGCAGAAGCUGCAUAAACAUUUUCUAUGUACAAAGUGAUGCAGCUAACGAUGGAAUGCUGCUUGAGAUCUGUAAUAUUUGAAAGUGAUUGUGAAUGUUUAAUCAAAAUAAUUAACGAAGAGUUGGAAGAACCUAGGAACUAUGUUUGUAAAAUUGUAAGAGGCAUCAAAGUUCUGAGCAGGAAGUUCAGUAGGUGUCAUUUUUUGUUAGAAGGACAGGAAAUUGUGUGUCUCAUAACAUGGCACAAUUAGCUUUAUUUUAGCCCAAUAUAGUGUGGCUUGAGGAAAUUCAUGAGUAAAUGUUCACAUGAAAGUGAGUUUAACAAUUAUGGUAGUUUUACCUUUGUGUAUUUCUCUACCCCUAUUUUUCAUCCUUAAUUAUUUCGAAGUUUAUAUUUUGUUUUGCAAUCGAUUAACAUAUUUUGGUUCUUUGUUUUUGUUUUUCAAUUUUUUCCAGUGCUGCUAAAAGUCUGGUGUCAGUGUCGAUGUUGCGGUGGUUCGAGCUGUUGUGCACCUAUGGUAUUAUCUCCCAUGAAAGUUUCUAAUAAGUUGCAGUCGUAUGGUUUCAUCUACUUUAUUAAUAUCGUGUAUAUUUUCUAUAGAAGCUUAUAUAGAGUUUGCUUGGUGAGUUUAUCAAAACCACAAUGAGUCGCCGUGAUUUAGAAAAAGGUGUAGCUUUUAUAGUGACUUUGUCAAAGCUUAUUUUCUAUUGUUGCUGUUCUUUUCUACAUAAUACACUUCUGUUAUGUUUGCACUUUAUACUUCAGUAUAGAUAGUCAAAGUGUCUGUUUGGUGUAGCUUUUUUCACUACCAAACGACGUUUGCCAUCCUUCACCGUGGUUUUUUCACUUUGCAGCAUGUUUGGUUACCUUUUCCAAAAUCAAUUCAACCUUCCAAAAUCAAUUCUACAAGAAGCUACAAAUCUCAGCUUCUACGGUGAGGCUUAAAUCAAUUCUGCCUUUAUUGUUUGUUGAUAGUUAGAUAACUCACUUUAUUCCAUCUUUGCCCUCACUUCCAUCUUUUUAUCUUUUUCUUAGAUCUGUCUCGUUCUUAAAUUUCUCUUCCUCUUGUAUAACCCGUUUCAAUCUCUACGUUUUCUCUCAUCUUCAUUGUUUACUCUAGUCCAUAAAAAUUAAUAUUUGAGAAAUUUAAUUUUUUGACGUCAAGCUUCCAGCAAGUUCUUCUUUUUGUGUUACAAGUUCUAGCAAAUUCUUGUGUGCUUCUCUCUAUUAUACCCUUGUUAAAAACUGAACAUGCUAGUAAUUUGACGAAAAUAUAUUAAACUAUGGCUUUGAAGUUUAUGGAAAAAUUGAAUGUUCUAAACUUUUUUUAAAUAUUGUUUUUGUAAAAUUUGUUGAAAAUAUAUUAAUACUUUUUAAAAAUUUGUAAAAUUUGUCUCAAAGGUGACAUCCAUCAAGCAUUGCACUUUCAUGAUAAGGUUAUUGCGAUGGGAUUUCAUUUGGACAAAGUUGGUUAUGGAACCUUGAUUAAUGGCUUGUGUAAAGUUGGUGAAACAAAAGCAGCCCUUGAAUUGCUCCGACGAGUUGAUGGAAAAUUGGUUCAGCCUGAUGUGGUAAUGUACAAUACCAUUAUCGAUGGUAUGUGUAAAGAUAAACAUGUUAAUGAUGCUUUUGAUUUAUAUUCUGAAAUGGCUUCUAAGAGAAUUUUCCCCGAUGUUUUCACUUACAAUGCUUUAAUUAGUGGCUUUUGCAUUGUUGGUAAAUUGAAAGAUGCAACUGAUUUAUUCAAUAAAAUGACAUCGAAAAACAUCAACCCAACUGUGUAUACUUUUAAUAUAUUGGUUGAUGCAUUUUGUAAGGAAGGAAACGUAAAAGAGGCUAAAAAUGUGUUAGCUAUGAUGAUGAAACAAGGCAUCAAUCCUAAUGCUGUUACUUAUAGCUCUUUAAUGGAUGGAUAUUGCCUAGUUAAUGAAGUGAACAAUGCCAAGGGUAUAUUCAGCACUAUGUCUCUUAGGGGAGUGACUGCUAAUGUUUGGAGCUACAAUAUCAUGAUUAAUGGAUUUUGUAAGAUUAAAAUGACCGAUGAAGCCAUGAAUCUCUUUGAAGAAAUGCAUUGUAGAAAACUAAUUCCUGAUGUGGUAACUUACAAUUCCCUUAUCAAUGGUUUGUGCAAAUCGGGGAAAAUCUCUUAUGCUUUGAAGCUAGUCGAUGAGAUGCAUGAUAGAGGUCAACCACCUGAUAUAAUUACUUACAGUUCUUUAUUAGAUGCUUUAUGCAAAAACCAUCAGGUUGACAAGGCAAUUGCGUUAUUAACAAAUUUGAAAGACCAGGGUAUUCGACCAAAUAUGUACACAUACACUAUUCUUAUUGAUGGACUGUGUAAAGGUGGAAGACUAGAGGAUGCACAUAAUAUUUUUGAGGAUCUUUUGGUCAAAGGCUAUAAUAUAACUGUCAACACAUAUACCGUUAUGAUCCAUGGGUUUUGUAACAAGGGCUUGUUUGAUGAAGCAUUGGCUUUGUUGUCAAAAAUGAAAGACAAUAGUUGCUUUCCAAAUGCCUUAACUUAUGAAAUAAUCAUCCGUUCUCUGUUUGAUAAUGAUGAAAAUGAUAAGGCGGAGAAUCUUCUUCGUGAAAUGAUUACGAGAGGCCUAUUGUAAGACUGAAACUAGGUAAGCUGUAUUCUAUUUAUCUAUUAUUAUAUUGUAUUUAUAUUUAAGCAUAUAGAGUGUACUAAGUUAUGAAAGUCGCACCUAAUUUUGACAAACGACUGUAUAUAAUCAUGGAGUGAAAUUAAAAUAAACUUAUUUUGUUAGUAUGAGGUUGCAGAACUUUUGGAAUCUGCAUGAUGUGUGCUUUUUAGAUACUUUCCUAUAAGGAAAGGUGAAGAGAAGUAUUGAAAGGUUAAUAGUGAUCUGUAAAGUCUAGGGAGGACUUCUUUUCCCCUCUCCAAUACCUUAUGAGAUGCUAGUAUAAAUUGAACUAUGAUAGGUAGUCACCAGGUAUGAGUGGAUGUGCAUUGUUUGAUUUUUGGGCACAUUUUGCAUUGAUGGGAAAAGGUUCAACAUUAUCUGAGUAUCAUUUCUAUUGAAUACCUCAUUUCCCACAGUUAUGCAAAGUUAUUUUGAUUUGCGAAAGGUAAGUUUGAACAUGGCUGAAUCCAAGUCUGAGCUUUUGAGGUCUGUCAUAUUCUGCAUAUACUCAUUCUGCACUCUUAGACUUACAGCCUCUAGGCCAGCAACAACUGUGAUUUGAUAUGCGUUUUGGUGAGAUUUGCAAUGUGCAUCAAGCCAUGAGCUGCGACCAUGAGAAGUUAUUAAAUCUUUCCUAGGCUUGCUUCUUAUUCAAGUAAACUAAUUCCUAGAAUUCGAGAAAUCUAUCAGCAUACAAAAGAUGAGUAGAUUUAGAAAAUAGUGUACAAAUUUGGUUUUACGAAACAACUUUUAGUCUUCACUCUUCACUUCAGUGUAACCUAUCCAUUUUGUUUCGCUUGACUCCUGGUAUUAUUGAUUAUGCAUUUUGCAUAGAAUCAGUAAAGGAAUCGAGAAACCAGUAUGGUUCUUCACAUUUCCAGAGGGUGUGUUGAUCAAGUGGCGCCUAUUCGAGAUAUUUUCUCAUUUUUCAGUUUUUGUUCACAGUUUCUUUCUUUCACUGCCUAAAACUAAAAUCCUAUUAUUUGGAUACUUUUUACAAUUUGGGGGCCUUUGUAGGAACCCGUUUCACCUCUGUGGCUCAGUUAUAUCUCCGUCGAUUUUCUAUACAUUUUUCAUACACCAAUUGUUUUAUACUGAAAUAUGUUUAUGCAAUAAAAAAACAAUUUUACUAAUCUUUGAUGAUCCAAGAGCAGCAGAGGAGUAAGUUGAGUAGAAAUCUGAAACAUUAAAUUUGUCUCAAUAUUCCUAGUUUCUGCACUAUGUAUCUUGCAUUAAUUGUACUUAAAAUUUAAGAGCUUAUCGCAUGUGGUAAGUGGAUUUUGCAUUGUUGGUAAAAUGAAAGAUGCAAUUGAUUGUUUUAAUAAAAUGAUAUUGGAAAACAUCAAUCCGAAUGUGUAUACCUUUAACAUAAUGGUUGAUGGAUUUUGUAAGGAAGGAAGGGUGAAAGAAGCUAAAAAUGUGUUAGCUAUGAUGAUGAAACGAGACAUCAAACUUAAUGUUGUUACUUAUAACUCUUUAAUGGAUGGAUAUUGCCUAGUUAAACAAGUGAAUAAGGAUAAGAGUGUGUUUGGAUGAGGUAAUUUGAAAUUUUUUAAAGAAUUUAAAAUUCUAGGCAAUUAACCUCAAAGUAUUUGAAUUCCUUCAUAACAUUACAUUUCUUCAAUAUUACAUUACAUUCCCCCAUCCAAAUAAUGGAAUUCACAUCAAAGUAUUUGAAUUCCCUCAAAACAUUACAUUCCAUCAAAACAUUCCUCCAUCCAAACACACUCUAAGGGUUUAUUCAACACUAUGGCCUCAAAGGGAGUAACUAAUGUUCCAAGCUACAAUACAAUGAUUAAUGGGUUUUGUAAGAUUAAAAAAGUCGAUGAAGCCAUGAAUCUCUUUAAAGAAAUGCAUUGCAAAAACAUUAUUCCUAAUGUGGUGACUUACAAUUCUCUUAUUGAUGGUUUAAGCAAAUCAGGGAUAAUCUCAUAUGUUUUGCAGCUUGUCGAUCAGAUGCAUGAUAGAGGUGUACCACCUAAUAUAGUCACUUACAAUUCUAUAUUAGAUGCUUUAUGCAAAACCCAUCAGGUUGACAAAACAAUUGCAUUGUCAACGAAAUUUAAAGACCAGAGUAUUCAACCAAAUGUGUAAACAUACACUAUUCUUAUUGAUGGAUUGUGCAAAGGUGGAAGACUAAAGGAUGCACGGAAUAUUUUUGAGGAUCUUUUAGUCAAGGGCUAUAAUGUAACUGUUAACACAUAUACCGUUAUGAUUCAAGGGUUUUGUAGCCAUGGCUUGUUUGAUGAAUCAUUGGCUUUGCUGUCAAAAAUGGAAGAAAAUGGUUGCAUUUCAAACGCCGUAACUUAUGAAAUAAUCAUCCGUUCUCUGUUUGCUAACGAUGAAAUGAUUACGAGAGACUUAUUGUAAAACUGAAACUAGGUAAGAUGUUUUCUAUUUAUCUAUUGUUAUAUUGUAUUUAUAUUUAAGCAUAAAGAAUGUACUAAGUUAUGAAAGUCGCACCUAAUUUUGACAAAUGACAUUACGGAGUGAAAUUAAAAAAACUUAUUUUGUUAGUAUGAGGUUACAGAUCUUUUGGAAUCUGCAUGAUGUUUGUUUUUUUGUUUUUCUAUAAGGAAAGGUGAAGAGAAGUAAUGAAAGGCUAAUAGUGAUCGGUAAAGUCUAGGGAGGACUGGUUUUUUGUUCAGCGGCCUUUUUCAACUAGCCAUUUGAGAUGUCACAACCCAUAUUCUAUCAAUCAUCUAUUCCUCUAUGAUAACUAGUUCUUAGUUAGUUGGAGUUUCAGGAACAUUGUGAGUAAGAGUAAUGCAAAAAGUUCAUUCCUUUCUAUUUUGGAUUGUAAUAUUCCUAUGCAAACUCUAAAUUCUUCUAUCAAUUAUUGUAGUUAUGUUUUCAUUCAUUUUUUAUAAUAUUUUUGUUUUUGCGUUUAAGCUCGUCAUGAGCUAAACCUACUUUGUCGUUAAUACAUGAUGAGGUUAUGAUUAUGUUUGGCAUAAGUUUGGUUAGUUGUAUGUACUAAAGCUCAUUUUAAACAAGUUGUAUUAGCCAUAAUCUUUAAAGUAAAACUUGAUCACUUUUAUAUUUAAUACCAAAUUCUCUGAGCUCGAUGGAUGAUGGGAAUGGAACUACUUGUUUAAUAUGAAAAAUGUUUUAAUGCUCUAGAGAGAUAAAACCUUGAAAGGCAACUUGAAUGUUUGUAUAGAUUUCUUGUUAUAGGAUAAAGACUUAUUAACCUUUCCAAAGAGAGAAAUGGUUAAGAUCUAACCUUAAUAUUGUUGCAUGGUUAACUUGGCCAUCCCGAAUAUCGAAAGAGUAGCAGGACUUUGAUCCUAAUAAUAUAUAGGCUUAAUUACACUUUUGUUCCUUACAUUUUGACUAACUUACGAAAUUGAUCAUACCUCUUUUAAACCGAACAAAAGCGUCCCUAAACUAUAUGUUUUUUACAAUUUUAAUUCUAUCUCCCUAUUUCCAACUCCAGAAACGCACAUAAAUGACAGUUUUAGUCCAACCACCUAUGCUCAACCAUGAAAUAAACAAGGAAUAAAUCAUGUGGGUACAAGGAAUCUACUUUGUUCAGCACACAAACCAAGAAAAAUCCUAAUUUCUAAGACAUGUUUCAGGCAUGUAACAUGUCUCGGAAAUUAGGUUAGUGUGCUGAAUAAAGUAGAUUCCUUGUACCCACAUGUUUUAUUCUUUGUUUAUUUCAUGGUUGAGUAUAGGUGGUUGGACUAAAACUAUCAUUUCUGUGCGUUUCUGGAGUUGGAAAUAGGGAGAUAGGACUAAAACUGCAAAAAACAUAUAGUUUAAGGACGAUUUUGUUCAAUUUAAAUAAAUAAAAAAGGACCAUUUUCACGAGUUGGUCAAAAUGGUAGGACCAAAAGUGUAAUUAAGCCUAAUAUAUAAACAAUGGAGUUGUUCAUGGCCUACUUUUUCUGUCAUGAGACAUGUUGACACAUCAUGCACUUGAAUCCAAAACGACACAAAUUAAACGACCACCUGAUUUGACGCACCAUUUUCUGGAAGUACAUCAAAGACUAAGAGAUGAUUACUGAAAUACGAGACUUUUCUUGAGGUUUUUAUGUAGGUCGAGGCAAUGAAAGAAUUGAACGUAUAAAGGCCUGGUUUGACCUCUUGAAUUUGAACACUUUUUCCAUCGUCAAAAGGUAAAUGAUUUUGUAGCUGUUAGAACAUUGGUGUGAUGUUGAAAGAAAAAAUUGGAAGAUUAAACACAAAGUAAUUGUACUUUGAUCUAAUUUUAAAUACUUAAUAAUGAUAAAAAUAAUUUAUUGGUGAAUAUCACUAUAUUUGAGUGGUCGUAGUACCAUAUUGAUAGUUUGGAGAAAUUAAAUUUAGAAUGGUGGUAACACCAUAUUUGAGUGCUCUUAGUACCAUAACAGAGUGGUAACAAUACCAUAUUAAAGCGAUUUCAGUAUUAAAGAGUGAUCUUAGUACCAUAUUUGAGGGUGUAAAUAUCGAAAGGUUUUCUACAAUGCAAUAGUUAACCACACAGUUGUAGCUGGACUUGUUUUAUCCUGGAGGAGGUGUGGUUGAUAGUUUGUCUUGCACAAUUUUGGGCAGUGCCACCAAACUUCUUAAAGAGAGCGACCUGACCGUGACUCAACCUAGUAACAACUUCGAUAGAUAUUCUUUAAAAAACUGAAUUUAGAAAUCCAAAUACAACAGUUUAUAAAUCCAAAACCAAUAAUUUUAAGACGUUUUGAUCUGCCAUUUGAAAAACAUAAUCUAUAGGGUUGUCCUGAGGAUCCAACAAUGAGUAUAAGUUAUAUUUUAAAAAGGAGUAAAUUUGCAAGUUGGUCUCUAAGAAAAAAUAUAUAAAUUAAAUUGGUCCUUAGUUAAGUCAAAAAAAAAAAAUUGUCCUCAGUAAAUAAUAAAAAUCAAUUUCAUCUUUAGCAAUAUUAUAUGAAAUAAAAUAAUUCUUUUUUAACAUUAUAUUGUAUGACACUUUAAUCUUAAUCAAUGGCUAGUUAGACCUAAAUCCUAAAAAAAAAUGCCAAUAUAUGCUAUUAAGACAUUUAUAUUAAAAGUAGAAAUUUUGUAUCGAAAAUAAAUCAUCAAAUUAAUCCCAAACUUUAUUAAUAUUUAAACUUGGGAGUAAAUCAUCAAAUUAACUGAUCAUAUCAUAUAACAAAUUAAUCCUAAACUUUAUUAAUAUUUAAAACUAGUCCCGUAUUUAUUAAAAGUUUUUCAAUGAUAUACCUUAUCAUUUAUGAAGCCCAGAUACUUUAAAAUGGAUGAUGUACUGUAUCCCCUGCGUAUCCUGCAUCGAUAUCUGUCCGAUAUUUCCCGAUAUUUUACAUUUUGAGUUUUAAUAAGUAGUUUAAAUUUAAUUUAAUUUUUCAUUGAAGUAUCGCAGCCGUAUCGUAUAUGAAAUUUUAAAUUUUUUUCAUAUCGACGUGUCCGUGCCGUACAUAUCAUGUAUAUGAUGACCUUCAUAGCUUGUCGUAUAACAAAAAACAAAAAACAAUUAAGUAGUGACUUGAAGACCAACAGUUUCAUUUGCCGAAAACCUAACUACACAUCCAACGAUGUUUCAUUCUUCUUCUUCUUCGAUGUUGCCGAGUUACUAUGUUGUUCCUGUUUCUUAUUUUGUUCCAAAAAAGUUUCAUUCUUUUCAAUUUCUUAAAAAUACCCAUUUCAAUUUCAUUCCUUAUUCUUCUUCAAAAAUAAAUUUCAUUCCUUACUCUUCAAUUUCAACCACAUUCCAUAACAACAAUGAUGUUGUUGAUGCUUUUUCUUUGUUCAGUCGCUUGCUUCGUCAGAAUCCCACUCCUCCCGCAAUCGAAUUCAAUAAGAUUUUAGGUUCCCUUGUCAAAUCCAAACAUUACCACACUGUUCUUUCUCUUUCUCAACAAAUGGAAUUUGAGGGAAUUAAUCCUGACUUUUUCACUUUCAACAUCCUCAUCAAUUGCUUUUGUCAAUUGGGUCUUAUCCCUUUUGCUUUCUCUGUUUUCGCAAAGAUUCUCAGAAUGGGUUAUCAUCCCAAUACCAUAACCUUCACUACACUCAUCAAGGGUCUUUGUCUUAAAGGUCAGAUCCAUCAAGCAUUGCUCUUUCAUGAUAAUGUGGUUGCGAUGGGAUUUCAAUUGGACCAAGUUGGUUAUGGAACCUUGAUCCAUGGCUUAUGUAAGGUAGGAGAAACAAGAGCAGCCCUUGACUUGCUCAGACGAGUUGAUGGUAAUUUGGUUCAGCCUAAUGUGGUAAUGUACAGUACCAUUAUCGAUGGUAUGUGUAAAGAUAAACAUGUUAAUGAUGCUUUUGAUUUAUAUUCUGAAAUGGUUUCUAAGGGAAUUUCUCCCAAUGUUGUUACUUACAGUGCUUUAAUUAGUGGGUUUUUCACUGUUGGUCAACUGAAAGAUGCAAUUGAUCUGUUUAAUAAAAUGAUAUUGGAAAACAUCAAACCGGAUGUGUAUACUUUUAAUAUAUUGGUUGAUGGAUUUUGUAAGGACGGAAAGAUGAAAGAAGGUAAAACUGUGUUUGCUAUGAUGAUGAAACAAGGCAUUAAACCUAAUGUUGUUACCUAUUGCUCUUUAAUGGAUGGAUAUUGCCUAGUUAAAGAAGUGAAUAAGGCUAAGAGUAUAUUAUACACUAUGUCUCAGAGGGGAGUGAAUCCUGAUAUUCAAAGUUACAAUAUCUUGAUUGAUGGGUUUUGUAAGAUUAAAAAGGUCGAUGAAGCUAUGAAUCUCUUUAAAGAAAUGCAUCACAAACAUAUUAUUCCUGAUGUGGUAACUUACAAUUCCCUUAUUGAUGGUUUGUGUAAAUUGGGGAAAAUCUCUUAUGCUUUGAAGCUAGUUGAUGAGAUGCAUGAUCGGGGUGUACCACCUGAUAUAAUUACUUACAGUUCUAUAUUGGAUGCUUUAUGCAAAAACCAUCAGGUUGACAAGGCAAUUGCGUUAUUAACAAAAUUGAAAGACCAGGGUAUUCGACCAAAUAUGUACACAUACACUAUUCUUAUUGAUGGACUGUGUAAAGGUGGAAGACUAGAAGAUGCACAUAAUAUUUUUGAGGAUCUUUUGGUCAAAGGCUAUAAUAUAACUGUCAACACAUAUACCGUUAUGAUCCAUGGGUUUUGUAACAAGGGCUUGUUUGAUGAAGCAUUGACUUUGUUGUCAAAAAUGAAAGACAAUAGUUGCAUUCCAGAUGCUGUAACUUAUGAAAUAAUCAUCCGUUCCCUGUUUGAUAAAGAUGAAAAUGAUAAGGCGGAGAAACUUCGUGAAAUGAUUACGAGAGGCCUAUUGUAAGACUGAAACUAGGUAAGAUGUUUUGCUAUAUAAACAUUGUUAUAUUGUUUUUAUAUUUCAAUUUGAUAUCGUCAUUUCAUUUUAUGUACUUGUCUCUGCUAGUGGAAAAGACUUUUUUUGUUGUUUUUGUUAACUGUGUAUAGCAAAACCUUUAUACUUCUCGUAUAUAUUCCAUUUCAGUUUCUCUAUAUUAAUAUUAUAUUACCUCAUUGAGAGUUUCAUCAAUCAAUUAUGAAAGUUGUGCACCCUCUUAUCUGCAGAUUUGGAUGUUAGUAUACCUUUCUGCUUUUAAUUUCAUUUAUUUAUUUAUCUUGAGUGAAACUUUGAAUGAUCCAAACUGUUUUAUAGACUAAUUUCGAUGGAACGGCUGCCUUAACAAAUGAUUUUAUAGCCAGCAUAUGGGGAUGAUGGACUUGGUAUGCUUGUGUAGCUAAAUUACAUUGCUGCAUAGUGAGUAUCUAAGGCCCCAUUUCAGCUUCAUAGUCAACUUAAAUAGGCCUUGAAAGAAGUACUGAGUGCUAGAAAGAUCUUGAAAUAUUGUUGUCCCCAUAGAAUCUCUUUUCCUGCAUAAUUCUAAUUUUUCAGUGUUGAGACAGAAUUUCUUAAUCGUGAUUGAACUUAAGAAAUAUCAGUUGUAGGAAAACAGGGUGGUUAAGAUUUGGCUUGAUGAGCCUAUCUUAUGGCUUCUAAAUUGAAUUGGCACAAAACAAGUAACUGCAUUUAUUUUAUCUUAGUUAUACUUGUACUUCUGCAUAAUUCUAAUCUUAGGAACCUUAACUAUUUUAGAAUGCUAAACUUAAGACUAAAAUGCUAAAACCUGAGUUGUAAACAAUAGAGACAAGCUUGACACUUAAUUGAAGAAAGCUAAAAAUGGGUAACUAAGGUCUGGCCUUGAAAUUGUUUGGUCACUAGAAAUGUAGUUUAGAAUUUAGAAAUUGCAUGCUUGUAGGAAGCAUGAUUCUAUUUCCGGCAUUAUUGUUGAUUUCAAUGUUAAAUUUGAUUCUUGGAAAUAUUGUAUGUUGUUUAAAGCUAAUUGAAUUCUUGCUUAAAUGAAAUCUAUGUUUCGAUACAUGUAUUGUUAAGUCAUAGGUUACUUUUCCUUUUCCCUUCAAACCCAAGCCUCUAAAGGUCAGAACCUCCAAACCUUGCUCUGCAUCGACUUUGGCCUGGCAUUGCGUUGACUAACAAAAUUGCCACCAUUUUUCAGUCAUCCAUUGUUUCUCGCGUUUCAAAAAUUAUUGAAUGUGGAUAGAAACUAAUGUUUCUCGUCUUAAAGAAUAUGAUUAUACAUCUGGAACAGUGAAGGUACAGGCUUGAUUUGGGAUCAGAGUGGUUUUAUCUUCAUGGCUCUACCUCGACUGAGCCCUUUCACUGCAUUGACUAACAAAAUUGCCACCCUUUUUUAGUUCUCCGUCGACUUUCUUGUAGAAAAAAAUUAUUGAAUGUUGUUGUUAGCAACCAGUGUUGCCUUUCUUAAAGAAUGUGGCUAUGCUUCUAGAUUAGGUUAGAUGCAUAUAUCAGUUUUCAAUGAUGAACAAUAGUAGUAAUGUGGUUGUGCUUAUUGAGUUCAGACCAUUUAGUUUAUGCUUUUCCUCUACCUAUUUAGUUUUAUGAUACAUAUGAACUGCACUUUGCCUCAGAAACGGAUAUGCAGCCUCAGUCGAGACAUGUUAUGACUGUAAAGACACAAUUAAUUAAUCCUGCGAAGCAUCUUGUAUUUGGCAUCCUUGUGAUUGUGAGUUUCUUCUAGUGUUUUGUACUUUUGAAAAUUUGGGGAUGGUCUAACAAAAAAACAUAAAACAAUUAAGUGACUUGAAGACCAACAGUUUCAUUUGCCGAAAACCUAACUACAGAUCCAACAAUGUUUCAUUCUUCUUCGAUGUUGCCAAGGUACUCUGUUGUUCCAAAAAAGUUUCAUUCUUUUCAAUUUCUGAAAAACACCCAUUUCAAUUUCAUUCCCUAAUUUUGCUUUUCCUCUUCUUCAAUUUCAUUUCAUAAUAACAAUGAUGCUGUUGAUUCUGUUUCUUUGUUUAAUCGUUUGCUUCGUCAGAAUCCCACUCCACCCACAAUCGAAUUCAAUAAGAUUUUAGGUUCCCUUGUCAAAUCCAAACAUUUCCACACUGUUCUUUCCCUUUCUCAAAAAAUGGAAUUUAAGGGAAUUAAGCCAAGCUUUGUCAGUUGCAACAUCCUCAUCAAUUGUUUCUGCCAACUGGGUCUUAUCUCUUUUGCUUUCUCUAUUUUGGCUAAGAUUCUCAAAAACGGUUACGAGCCUGAUACCAUAACAUUGACUACAUUCAUCAAGGUUCUCUGUCUCAAAGGUCAGAUCCAUCAAGCAUUGCACUUUCAUGACAAGGUUAUUGCGAUGGGAUUUCAUUUGGACCAAGUUAGUUAUGGAACCUUGAUUAAUGGGUUGGGUAAAGUUGGUGAAACAAAAGAAGCCCUUGAAUUGCUCCGACGAGUUGAUGGUAAAUUGGUUCAGCUUAAUGCGGUAAUGUACAAUACCGUUAUUGAUGGUAUGUGUAAAGAUAAACAUGUUAAUGAUGCUUUUGAUUUAUAUUCUGAAAUGGUUGCAAAGAGAAUUUAUCCCGGUGUUGUUACUUACAGUGCUUUAAUUAUUGGCUUUUGCAUUGUUGGUAAAUUGAAAGAUGCAAUUGGUUUGUUCAAUAAAAUGAUAUUGAAAAACAUCAUCCCGGAUGUGUAUACCUUUAGUAUAUGGUUGAUGGAUUUUGUAAGGAAGGGUGAAAGAAGCUAAAAAUGUGUUUGCUAUGAUGAUGAAACAAGACAUUAAACCUAAUGUUUUUACUUAUAACUCUUUAAUGGAUGGAUAUUGCCUAGUUAAAGAAGUGAAUAAGGCUAAGAGUAUAUUCAACACUAUGGCUCAGGGAGGAGUGAAUCCUGA
rnacentral:lncRNA from 1 species